CCCAAACUCCUACGGGAGGCAGCAGUAGGGAAUCUUCCACAAUGGACGCAAGUCUGAUGGAGCAACGCCGCGUGAGUGAAGAAGGUUUUCGGAUCGUAAAGCUCUGUUGUUGGUGAAGAAGGAUAGAGGUAGUAACUGGCCUUUAUUUGACGGUAAUCAACCAGAAAGUCACGGCUAACUACGUGCCAGCAGCCGCGGUAAUACGUAGGUGGCAAGCGUUGUCCGGAUUUAUUGGGCGUAAAGCGAGCGCAGGCGGAAGAAUAAGUCUGAUGUGAAAGCCCUCGGCUUAACCGAGGAACUGCAUCGGAAACUGUUUUUCUUGAGUGCAGAAGAGGAGAGUGGAACUCCAUGUGUAGCGGUGGAAUGCGUAGAUAUAUGGAAGAACACCAGUGGCGAAGGCGGCUCUCUGGUCUGCAACUGACGCUGAGGCUCGAAAGCAUGGGUAGCGAACAGGAUUAGAUACCCUGGUAGUCCAUGCCGUAAACGAUGAGUGCUAAGUGUUGGGAGGUUUCCGCCUCUCGGUGCUGCAGCUAACGCAUUAAGCACUCCGCCUGGGGAGUACGACCGCAAGGUUGAAACUCAAAGGAAUUGACGGGGGCCCGCACAAGCGGUGGAGCAUGUGGUUUAAUUCGAAGCAACGCGAAGAACCUUACCAGGUCUUGACAUCUAGUGCCAUUUGUAGAGAUACAAAGUUCCCUUCGGGGACGCUAAGACAGGUGGUGCAUGGCUGUCGUCAGCUCGUGUCGUGAGAUGUUGGGUUAAGUCCCGCAACGAGCGCAACCCUUGUUAUUAGUUGCCAGCAUUAAGUUGGGCACUCUAAUGAGACUGCCGGUGACAAACCGGAGGAAGGUGGGGAUGACGUCAAGUCAUCAUGCCCCUUAUGACCUGGGCUACACACGUGCUACAAUGGGCAGUACAACGAGAAGCGAGCCUGCGAAGGCAAGCGAAUCUCUGAAAGCUGUUCUCAGUUCGGACUGCAGUCUGCAACUCGACUGCACGAAGCUGGAAUCGCUAGUAAUCGCGGAUCAGCACGCCGCGGUGAAUACGUUCCCGGGCCUUGUACACACCGCCCGUCACACCAUGGGAGUCUGCAAUGCCCAAAGCC
rnacentral:rRNA from 1 species